rnacentral:rRNA from 1 species
AGAGUUUGAUCCUGGCUCAGGACGAACGCUGGCGGCGUGCCUAAUACAUGCAAGUAGAACGCUGAAGAGAGGAGCUUGCUCUUCUUGGAUGAGUUGCGAACGGGUGAGUAACGCGUAGGUAACCUGCCUGGUAGCGGGGGAUAACUAUUGGAAACGAUAGCUAAUACCGCAUGAAAUUGCUUAUCGCAUGAUAAUUAAUUGAAAGAUGCAAUUGCAUCACUACCAGAUGGACCUGCGUUGUAUUAGCUAGUUGGUGAGGUAACGGCUCACCAAGGCGACGAUACAUAGCCGACCUGAGAGGGUGAUCGGCCACACUGGGACUGAGACACGGCCCAGACUCCUACGGGAGGCAGCAGUAGGGAAUCUUCGGCAAUGGGGGGAACCCUGACCGAGCAACGCCGCGUGAGUGAAGAAGGUUUUCGGAUCGUAAAGCUCUGUUGUAAGAGAAGAACGGGUGUGAGAGUGGAAAGUUCACACUGUGACGGUAUCUUACCAGAAAGGGACGGCUAACUACGUGCCAGCAGCCGCGGUAAUACGUAGGUCCCGAGCGUUGUCCGGAUUUAUUGGGCGUAAAGCGAGCGCAGGCGGUUAGAUAAGUCUGAAGUUAAAGGCUGUGGCUUAACCAUAGUAUGCUUUGGAAACUGUUUAACUUGAGUGCAGAAGGGGAGAGUGGAAUUCCAUGUGUAGCGGUGAAAUGCGUAGAUAUAUGGAGGAACACCGGAGGCGAAAGCGGCUCUCUGGUCUGUAACUGACGCUGAGGCUCGAAAGCGUGGGGAGCAAACAGGAUUAGAUACCCUGGUAGUCCACGCCGUAAACGAUGAGUGCUAGGUGUUAGGCCCUUUCCGGGGCUUAGUGCCGCAGCUAACGCAUUAAGCACUCCGCCUGGGGAGUACGACCGCAAGGUUGAAACUCAAAGGAAUUGACGG